UACGAAGGGUGCAAGCGUUACUCGGAAUUACUGGGCGUAAAGCGUGCGCAGGCGGUGAUGUAAGACAGUUGUGAAAUCCCCGGGCUCAACCUGGGAACUGCAUCUGUGACUGCAUCGCUGGAGUGCGGCAGAGGGGGAUGGAAUUCCGCGUGUAGCAGUGAAAUGCGUAGAUAUGCGGAGGAACACCGAUGGCGAAGGCAAUCCCCUGGGCCUGCACUGACGCUCAUGCACGAAAGCGUGGGGAGCAAACAGG
rnacentral:rRNA from 1 species